rnacentral:lncRNA from 1 species
ACUACAGGUGAGUUCAUACCCCUAAAUCAAUCUUUUAAAUGUUUUUAAAUGCUUUAAUUGGGGGGGGGAAUACAGGUUGAAUCAUGCUAGUUAUUAUAUCAAUUUAUGUGAUUAAUAACCAGCAUACUAUAGGAUUUACUACACUUUAAGCUGUUUUACCAAACAGAUUUCUGUAAAUGGCUUUCCAAAAGGUUUUACAAACUGACAUCAAGUCAUAUUUCUUAGUUGUUAAACUUUACAAAGGUUUUUACAAAACUCUGUUAUACUUUGUUAUCAAAGGAUAUACUUUUGAAAUGCUUUAUAAAAUGACAUCAAGUCAUUAUUAUUUUUUUAUUGUUCAAAACCCUUAAAUGUUUUACAAAACUUCUUUUAUACUUUAAAUUGUUAAAUGCAUGCCUAGAUAUGUAUAGUUAUAUAAGUAAUGUUUGAAGGACUUAGGAAGGCUAACCCGCUUUAUUUCCUUUUCCCCGUUGGGAUGUGGUCUGGUAGGGUAUCGGGUAUCCGUCCGAAGGUCCUUUAACUAUCAGUUAUAUAUCAUGUAUACAUAUAGAGACAUAAAAGUUCCAUCAGUCGGUACAAUACCUUUGGGUAGCAAAGGUAUACUUAGAUUAUACACGUUCAUUACUAGUAACUAUAAUAGGUAUAGUUAGGAGAUACUACUUACCAUUCCAAGUACAAGGAAUCAUCACAAGAGUCAGUUCAUUCAUGAGUACGUUUACAUAGAUAUGCUUACAUGAGUACGUUUACAUAGAUACAUUUACAUAAAUAUGCUUACAUGAGUAAGUUUCAAUAGAUACGCUUACAUGACUACGUUUACAUGAAUACACUUACGUGGAUGCACUUACUUGGAUACCUUUACAUAGAUACUUAGUUAAAAGCAUGCCCGUAUAUGUAUAGUUAUAUAAAUAAUGUUUAAAGGACUUAGAAAGGCUAACCUGCUUUGUUUCCUUUUCCUCGUUGGGAUGUGGUCUGGUAGGGUAUCAGGUAUCUAUCUGAAGGUCGUCUAAAUAUUAGUUAUAUAUCAUGUGUACAUAUACGGACAUAAUAGUNGUCAGUCAGUUCAGUACCUUUGGGUAGCAAAGGUAUACGUUCAUAUAUCCCUAGUAAGCUAUUAUAGGUAUAGUUUGGGCUUAUAUAUGAUUUGGUAAUAAAUAUGGAUUUUAACCUAGCGAUUCGUUGCGGAAGUC